rnacentral:tRNA from 1 species
GGGUAGAGCUCAGUGGUAGAGCGCAUGCUUAGCAUGCAUGAGGUCCUAGGUUCAAUUCCCAGUACCUCCA